CUACGGGGCGCUGCAGUGGGGAAUAUUGCGCAAUGGGCGAAAGCCUGACGCAGCAACGCCGUGUGAGGGAUGAAGGCUUUCGGGUCGUAAACCUCUGUCAGAAGGGAAGAACGGGUAUUGGUCUAAUAGGCCAUUAUUUUGACGGUACCUUCAGAGGAAGCACCGGCUAACGUCCGUGCCAGCAGCCGCGGUAAUACGGAGGGUGCAAGCGUUAUUCGGAAUUACUGGGCGUAAAGCGCACGUAGGCCGCUUUGUAAGUCAGGGGUGAAAUCCCACGGCUCAACCGUGGAACUGCCUUUGAAACUGCAGAGCUUGAAUCCUGGAGAGGGUGGCGGAAUUCCUGGUGUAGGAGUGAAAUCCGUAGAUAUCAGGAGGAACACCGGUGGCGAAGGCGGCCACCUGGACAGGUAUUGACGCUGAGGUGCGAAAGUGUGGGGAGCAAACAGGAUAGAUACCCCAGUAGUC
rnacentral:rRNA from 1 species